ACUGACACAGCUUUCCCUAGUCUGAGAAGAAAGUAUCCUUGCAAGAAAGUUUCUGUUCUUCAGAUAUUUAUAAAUAAGUUCAACAGCCAUCUGCCUUGACUGCUUUGACCAACCUGCUGCCUGAUCAAGAAGAAAGAUAUAUCGGCUACUAGUAAGGAAAACGAGGUUGGCAAUCAUGAGACAUGAGGAAAGGGUAUUGGACUGAUCAAGAAAAGAGAAAACAGUGGCUCAAGACAGGAUGGUGGCAGUGGAGAAGUGUUUCCUGGGAUCACCUCCAAAGUACUUAUACUUAUACUCACAUGCUCACCUGGUGACUGCUUCUUGGGGAACCCCACUUAAGGAAGCCACCCUUGACUACCCAGCCUGAUGGAAGACCCCUCCCAUCUGGACUGUGAGCUGUUGAGAGAGGGGCGGGACCCUGUUUCAUUUGACUUUCAUCUCCGGUGCCUAAAAAGGUAUCUAACAUACGGAAAGCUCUCAAUAAAUGUUUGUUGGAUGAUU